rnacentral:rRNA from 1 species
UCCACAGCCAUAUCACCCUGCAGCCCAAGACUGGUUGCCCACUGAAGCUAAGCAGGGUUGAGCCUGGUCAGUACCUGGAUGGGAGACCUCCUGGGAAAACGGGGUUGUUGUUGGAA